GGUCUCGAUCUCCUGACCUCGUGAUCCGCCCGUCUCGGCCUCCCAAAGUGCUGGGAUUACAGGCUGCUUUGUAUUUCUUAUGAGAUAAAUUGUGAUUGUACUUCUCUGUGAACUGAUAGGCAGUAUAACUGAAAGGUGAAGAAUACACUGACAUUGUGAUAACAGUGGUGAGCUGAGGCUACAGACACUUGACCUUAGGCUGAAGACCAAUGUCUUCUACGGCCCCAAUCACUGAGGGUGGGACACCAGCUCUGGGGCCAGGACACAGGCGACAUCUUCAUGCAGAAGAUGAAAGCUGUGUAAGUGGUGUACAAUUUAUCCUUUCUUAGACAUCUCUCUGACCAGACUCCCUCUUGGAUUUCUACCAUGUUAGAUCCAUUGUGAUUAGAAGGAUCAAAUUUAGUCAGUUUAAAGGGGCAUACACAAAUUUUGACAGUGCUAAUGUGCCACCCAAGAAAAAUGCAUGUAGCAUGGAUUAAGGAAGUACAUACAGGAUCUACAUUGACAGGGUUUUGUAAUUAGAAAAAAAAGGAAUUAAUUCCUCUGAGUGUCUUUAUACAAAUCCAAAGGGUAAAGCAGAAUACUAGAAGAUGUUUUAAAUAUGAUUAUGAUUUCAAACAAACAUGUUUACUCAGGAAAAUAUAUUUUUUCUCACCUCAGCUAUUAAAGUCUCAGGAAAAUUAACCUUGAAAAUAUUCUAAGGGAAACUUGUUUUCAUUCCCUGAAUCUCAUUUCCUUUCACUUUCUUGUAAAGGAAUGAAUGCAUGAAGAGCAAGUAACCAGUGGAGCAGAGUAGGCAAGAACUCUGCCUUCCUUUCCACUUACUACAUUUAAAUGAACCUAGGCACGCACCUAAGUCACCUCAUCUACAAAAUUAAGAUAAUAAUAAUAAUCACAACUCCUUAAUAUGAUGGUUCUGAAGAUUGAAUAUCAUAUAGUAAAUGCUGAGGAAAUGUUUUCUAUUUUAAUCAGCCUUUGCUAGGAUAAAUGGAAAGAAUAUAAAUAUGCUAAAAUAAUUGUGAAAUAUAUGUUUAGAGAGCAUCAUCAUGGAAUAAAAAUAUAAAGGUGAUCAUCAUAUCAUAUAUAUGAUAUAUUAUCAUAUAACAUAUAAUAUAAAAUGACCAUUACAUCAGUGUAACCAGAGGUUUUAGACAAUUCAAAGCAAAGCUGAAUUCGCACACACAAUUGUAUUAUCAGAAUGGUUGGUUCAUGCAAUGAACACAGAAGAUUCUGCUUUCAGUUCUAUUCACAGAACUUCCUAGUCUUCAAAAAGAGGGAGAUGUAUGGGUGUGAGAGAGCUGAGGCAUGAAAUUUGGAUCUUAUUACAAGUGCAGAAGAAAAUUCUAAGAGCAUUUGAAGCACAAAAGUGUUAUGAUCUAAUUCCUACUUUUCAAUGAUCACCCUGACUGAUGUGAGGGGAAGAAAUAUGGGAUGUGCUGGUAGGAAUGUUAUCAAGAGCAGCUGAGGAUAUUAAAGUCCUUCAGGAGACAGCAUCAUGGCCUGAACUAUCACCUUCUAGUAAAGAUUAUGCAAGUGGUUCUAUUUGGGAUGUGUUGAAAGUGGAGGCAACUCGGUUUGCUAAAGGGCAGUGUGUGAAGGGAGUGAGGAUUUUUGAACCACGGAACACUUAACUUAGAACAGGAUGGGAGCUGUUAUGAGAGCUGAAUUGUGUUUCCUAAAAUUUCAUAUGCUGCAGACUCUUCCUUCAGGACCUCAGAAUAUGAACAUGGAGGCAAGUGGAGUGCUGAGGGCUGCCACUCAUGUCUAGAUGCCCAAGCUCCUGCAGCAGUCUGGCUUCUCCCUUUCACCCACCCUCACUCACAGACAGUGUCAAUUUCCACCUUUCAAUCACUUCUGUUAUUGUUUUGUCUGGUGAGUGCAUAGCUGAUAUUUAUGUUUUCCUGAUAAACUUUACUCACUGCUGACAUUGGAGAAGGUCAGGGAAAGGGCCGGAGAUGAGUGACUUUUAGGGGCAUUUCUAUUCUCUUCCUGUACUCUCCUGCCAAAGACAAGUCUGUCUUGCCUCAGGCCUGCAGCAACCUCAGUUGGUGACUUAAUCAGGCAAUGUCAGCCUGGCCUCUUUGCUGCUCCUUGUCUCUGACAUCCCUUUGCUACCUGAUGGUCUAACUUAAGAUAUGUAGGCAGGGUUAUUCAUCUCCAGUUCCUAUGGAAAAUAGUGUCUGGUGAGACCAGAGACAUAAAUCUCAAUAAUACAGUGGGACCUGCAGGCACAAGCAACUACUCUCUGCCUGAGAUAAAACUCAUGAAGACUAGUUAGAACCAGUCCACUUUCUGUAGAGCCAGAAGAAAUUGCCAAUUAAUAAUAUCUUUCCCUUUCAAGUAUGUCUAUAUUUUUGUCAGGGAAAAUACCAAACUUCCUGGUUCCCUUGAAAGGGCCAAGUUAUCUGUAGCAAAGUGUCUGGUAUUAGGAAGUCUCCCUUUACUAUUACCGACAACUCUUCAGAAGGGCCAGACCCGACCCUCAUCUGCACAGCCCAGGAUCCACUCCUCCCCAAUGCUGAAGAGGUCUGUCUUUAGGAUUUACUGUCACAUACCCUCCCUACCUCCAUCAUAUCUCCAACCAAGCUGUCCUUAAAUUAACACCAGUCAUGCACAAAAUGUGAACAUGAGACACUCAGAAAGUCUAAGUGGUAAAUGACUGCUGUUGAUAGUGACUAACCUGUAUAUUCCAUGAACUGAUGAGCAGGGAUGUACUAGAAAUAACAGAAGAAUCAGCAGCUGAAAGAAGUACUAACAACGCAGAUCUCUGAUAGGGCUUUUUGGAAACACAACAUUUACUGUGAAAUUACACAAACAAGAACGAAACAAAGGUGGUGAGAAUUAUAGCUUAUUACUUAGAAGAUUAAAUAAAGGAAAUCUCACCACAUUAAUGGUGGGAAAAGUCAGAUACAUAAAGAAAAUUACACAUAAUGAACUUCACUCAGAAAAUAAAAUAUGAACAAAGAAGUACCAGAAAGAAUGUAAGGAGGAAUGUAUAUCAGAAUAUUGUAAAAACAAACAAACAAACAAAAAACAAACAAACAAAAACACUCCUUGUGGAAGAACAAUCUGAGAAAACAGAUAACACAAAUACUGACUAAACCAAGAAAACCAACACAAUGCAAUUGAAGCUUUGAUGGGCAUAUCUGAUUACCUUAUUUGAAUGUAGAAUUGUAGCCACUUAAUUAUCAGAGGUAGGAAUUCAAUACAAUUCUUAAAACAAAUGAAGCAGAGGGUGAAUUUUAUAGAAUAUUCUAGAGAAAGUGAAGAGCAUGAAGUAAGUUUUGACGACAUGAUAUCGCAUGGCUCCUGCUAGAAACUAUAUAUUCAGUUUUCUCAGGUCUAGAUAUUUCCUUGUGGUUUCCGUGUCCAUUUUGCAUUAAUAACUUCUAAAGAUACUUUAAAAUACACAAUUUUGGCCUUCCUGUGUUGCACAAGAACAAGCCUUGCCUGAGCUGAGUGAGAUCCAGAGAAGCUUGAACAAUACUGUAGCAUGAGAAGGCUGCAGGGCAGCUUUCCAUCAUCUAUGUGUGCCCAGGAGUGUGCUGUCUUCACACAUCUCACAGAUGGCAGAAACCAUCUUUAUCGUAUCAAGACUUUAGCUAAAUGUGAUACUAUCUGUACAUACAUCACAAGAGAUGGAAAUAGGCUAUAAAAAGAGCCAGAGAUAUUGAUUAUUGUCACUGCUGGGUGUAGCUUUGCUGCCCCCACACACAUAUCCAGAAAUAAAUAACAGUGUGGAAAGUGGACAAUAGUGUUACCAAAAAGAUUGAAACUCUACUGAUGUCUGAAGUUCAAUUAUGACACAGUGCUGAUUGCUUGGACCUAGUUCAUUUAAAACCUUCGUUCAAGUCAUAGUUGUACCUUCUAGAAACAAGUCACCAACAAAUUCCAACCCAACCCAUCCCUCUGGGCUAGAGUCCCAGAGAGAAAUAAGGGAUGCACCUGACCUGCAGUGAGCAAAGCAGAACUGAAUCUCUGAGGUGGCAAGGCCCAUUCAGUGUGGAGCUCAAAGGUGUCAUUGUUCUGCUUCUCUUUAUAAAGGGAGUUGCCACGUUUCUCCCAGCACAGAGUUGGGAGCAACUCCAGAGCCUCCUGCAAGAUGCUGCUGAUUUUGCUGUCAGUGGCCCUGCUGGCCUUGAGUCCAGCUCGGAGCUUCAGUGAAGAUGUGAUCCAGGAAGAAUCUGCCUCCCUAAAAUCAGGAAAGCCAGAAGGACGACCCCCACAAGGAGGCAACCAGUCCCAAGGUCCCCCACCUCGUCCAGGAAGGCCAGAAGGACCACCCCCACAAGGAGGCAACCAGUCCCCAAG